AACGGCCGUACCAUGCUGAAUAUACCGGUUCUCUUUAGACCACCGAAGUUAAGCAUCAUUGGGCGCGGUCAGUACUUGGGUGGGUGACCACCUGGGAACACUGUGUGCCGUU
rnacentral:rRNA from 1 species